GAAAGAGCCACUGCAGCUCACAUCCUUUGGGACUGUGCUAAGAAUCCGCAUGAAGCUGCAACAAUACCAACGAUCCCGCCGCGGCUCGAGGCCGCAACGAGAUGCUAUGACCAAGAUGUCCAAACCCAGGCCGUCCAGCAGAUCUCGGCGGCCCUCGAAAGGCAACGACCGAGCGAAACCGGAGGGAGGCUGCCACCCCAAAAGAGGGGCAGGCGCGGUCGACCAAAGGGAAUAGUGCGGCCGCGGCCGAAGUAGAGGCGCCACACGCCGCGAAGGCGUCAUGGCCGCGUCACGGUAACGCCGCACUAACAGGGGAAGGCUAACCGUUCAGCAGGCGUUCACAACAAAGUUUCGUCACUCACUCAUGUGAAGAAGUACACACAAAGUACCGAGCGCAAGAGCAGGCGACAUUGCGGCCGUCCUCAACAAGACGAAAAGAAAGACGAGGGAGGCUCGUGCAGCGCAUGAAAAGGGGCUCGCGCAACGGAGAUGGUUGGAACGCCGGCACGACUAGGGCCGCCGGGCCUCCGGAACCCACAUCUACCGGUGAGGUUCACCUGACCGAGCGUCCAUCUUAGGGACAGUGAACGCCUCGGGUCGUUGCACGGCAAGAGACCCCGGAACGGCCUGCUGCAGCCUCGAACCCGCAUCUACGCGCGAGGUUCGGGAGAGCGAGCAUCCGUCAUCGAGACGAGGAGCGCCUCGGGUCGUUGCCUUGCACGAGGCCUCAGGUCGGUCUGCUGGCAUCUUGGAACCCGCUUCUACGCGCGAGGUUCGGGUGAUCGGGCGACCGAGUGGCCUGUUCUCGUCUACGGAGCUGUGGGCCGUCCACCUUUCCUGCCCCGCCCUGCUGCUGUGCUUGCUCUUCCACGCCGGUCAUCACUCUACCAGCGAGUGUCCCACCUCAAGGACUCUACGCCUCACCACAUUGUGGACUUCAACCGCAACCUCUGUCAUGAAACGAAUUACCAAUCAGACCAGCCCCAUCUAACUACGCUUUCAAGGAUACCCUCCUAGGGGACUUGGAGCCCACACGCCCGUUCCAGAAAACCACAGGCGGCGCUCCAUUUAAGGUCACCAGCGACCUCCGGCGGAGUGAUGUUCCUCCUGCUAGUAUCAUGGACCUGGGAGCUGUCGAAGGGCACGUUGAGAUCUACGGAACGCCUAUCGUCAGACUUACGUGGACUUGGCCGGGUGCGCACAUGACACACGGAGUAGGCAAGCAGAACUUCGAAGGGCUGUGUACUGAUCAACGUCGAGCUCAGGUUACCGUCAUGCAAGAGCUUCUGCCCAGGAGCAUCCGCCACACAAACUACAGACCCUGACAUCAUGAAGAAUGAUGGUACCUACAGCGGCCACUUCACCCAGUUCACGGGCCGAGUAAGGUACUCUGUAAUGGCAUACGUGAACGGAGGCAAGAAGACUAGACAUGCGUACCGUAGGCCGGGAUUCCCCCCCGACGCGGGGGGCUGGGAUGAAAACCACAAACGCGUGUCAUCAAACGAAUUACCAAUCAGCCAACUACACUUUCAAGGAUACCCUUUUAGGGGACUUGGAGCCCACGCGCCCGUUCCAGAGAAUCACAGGUGGUGCUUCCUUCAAGGUCACCAGGGACCUCCGGCGGAGUGAUGUUCCUCCUGCUAGUAUCAUGGACCUGAGAGCUGUCGAAGGGCACGUUGAUAUUGACGGAACGCCUAUCGUCAGACUUACGUAGACUUGGCCGGGUGCGCACAUGACACACGGAAUAGAACUUCGAAGGGCUGUGUACUGAUCAACGUCGAGCUCAGGUGACCGUCAUGCAAGAGCUUCUGCCCAGGAGCAUCUGCCACACAAACUACAGACCCUGACAUCAUGAAGAACGACGGUACCUACAGCGGCCAUUUCACCCAGUUUACGGGCCGAGGAAGGUACUCUGUAAUGGCAUACGUGAACGGAGGCAAGAAGACUAGACAUGCGUACCGUAGGCCGGGAUUCCCCCCCGACGCGGGGGGCUGGGAUGAAAACCACAAACGCGUGUCUUCAAACGAAUUACCAAUCAGACCAGCACCAGCCAACUACACUUUCAAGGACACCCUCCUAGGGGACUUGAGCCCACGCGCCCGUUCCAGAGAAUCACAGGUGGUGCUUCCUUCAAGGUCACCAGUGACCUCCGGCGGAGUGAUGUUCCUCCUGCUAGUAUCAUGGACCUGAGAGCUGUCGAAGGGCACGUUGAGAUCGACGGAGCGCCUAUCGUCAGACUUACGUGGACUUGGCCUGGGGCGCACAUGACACACGGAGUAGGCAAGCAGAACUUCGAAGGACUGCGUACUGAUCAACGCCGAGCUCAGGUGACCGUCAUGCAAGAGCUUCUGCCCAGGAGCAUCCGCCACACAAACUACAGACCCUGACAUCAUGAAAAAUGGCGGUACCUACAGCGGCCACUUCACCCAGUUCACGGGCCGAGAAGGUACUCUGUCAUGGCCUACGUGAACGGAGGCAAGAAGACCAGACAUGCGUACCGUAGGCCGGGAUUCCCCCCCGACGCCGGGGGCUGGGAUGAAAACCACAAACGCGUGUCAUCAAACGAAUUACCAAUCAGACCAGCACCAGCCAACUACACUUUCAAGGAUACCCUCCUAGGGGACUUGGAGCCAACGCGCCCGUUCCAGAGAAUCACAGGCGGCGCUUCCUUCAAGGUCACCAGGGACCUCCGGCGGAGUGAUGUUCCUCCUGCUAGUAUCAUGGACCUGAGAGCUGUCGAAGGGCACGUUGAGAUCGACGGAACGCCUAUUGUCAGACUUCGGUGGACUUGGCCGGGUGCGCACAUGACACACGGAGUGGGCAAGCAGAACUUCGAAGGACUGCGUACUGAUCAACGCCGAGCUCAGGUUACCGUCAUGCAAGAGCUUCUGCCCAGGAGCAUCCGCCACACAAACUACAGACCCUGACAUCAUGAAAAAUGACGGUACCUACAGCGGCCACUUCACCCAGUUCACGGGCCGAGGAAGGUACUCUGUCAUGGCCUACGUGAACGGAGGCAAGAAGACUAGACAUGCGUACCGUAGGCCGGGAUUCCCCCCCCCCCCCCCGGCGCGGGGGGCUGGGAUGGAAACCACAAACGAGUGCCAUCAAAGGAAGUACCAAUCCGACCAGCGCCAGCCAACUACGCUUUCAAGGAUACCCUGCUAGGCGACUUGGAGCCCACGCGCCCGUUCCAGAGAAUCACAGGCGGCGCUUCCUUCAAGGUCACCAGGGACCUCCGGCGGAGUGAUGUUCCUCCUGCUAGUAUCAUGGACCUGAGAGCUGUCGAAGGGCAAGUUGAGAUCGACGGAACGCCUAUCGUCAGACUUACGUGGACUGGGCCUGGUGCGCACAUGACACACGGAGUGGGGAACGCCUCGGGUGGUUGCACGGCACGAGACCCCGGAACGACCUGCUGCAGCCUCGAACCCGCAUCUACGCGCGACGUUCGGGAGAGCGAGCGUCCGUCGCCGAGACGAGGAGUGCCUCGGGUCGUUGCCUUGCACGAGGCCUCAGGUUGGCCUGCCGGGAUCUUGGAACCCGCUUCUACGCGCGAGGUUCGGGUGACCGGGGGACCGAGUGGCCUGUUCUCGUCUACGGAGCUGUGGGCCGUCCACCUUUUCCUGUCCCGUGCUGCUGCGUCUGACAUUCCACGCCGGCCAUCACUCGAUGAACAAGUGUCCCACCUCAAGGACUCUACGUGUCACCACAUUCCGGACUUCAACCGCAACCUCUGUCAUUAAAUGAAUUACCAGCCCCAGCCAACUACGCUUUCAAGGAUACCCUCCUAGGGGACUUCCAUGGAGCCCACGCGCCCGUUCCAGAGAAUCACAGGCGGCGCUUCCUUUAAGGUCACCAGGGACCUCCGGUGGAGUGAUGUUCCUCCUGCUAAAAUCAUGGACCUGAGAGCUGUCGAAGGGCACGUUGAGAACGACGGAACGCCUAUUGUCAGACUUACAUGGACAUGGCCUGGUACUCACAUGACACACGGAGUGGGUGUGUAUUGUCUGUGAGCGCCCAUUUCGAACUCAGGAAGAAAUGACGUCAGAAUACUCAACAGGAGCAUUAUGACUGGCAUUACGAAGGAGGCAAGCUCUUCGUUUUCUGCGUGGUUAACGUAUAGAACACCCCUCUUUAACGUAUUAUACACAAAGGACGCAAUGUAACAGAUUGCUGACUACAACACUUCAGUCGCUAGUGAGUUCAGCGUUCCACAGAGUUUUUAUAUCUGUACCACACAGGAUGUUGAACUCUUGUCUUCUCCAGAAAAAGACCUCACAGUCCGAAAACAUCAUCCGAAAUCUUUAAACAUCACUUCCGCUCUUGAAAGUGCAAUCAGAUGUAAUAUAAAAGCUUCAAAUCGUUCUAGUCACAUGCCUCUAUGUCUCAGCAUGACAAAAAAAAUUGCCGAAUUCAUACAGAGCAAGUAUUAGUGGUGUGGUAAAUGGAAAAGUCAAAAAUAUCACUACCUUUAUUGACGCCAUUUAAAAUCUAUACGCAACAAAUCUGUGGGAACGACGAAAGAGAGUAAAAAGGAUAAUUGCGAAAUUCCAGUAGAGCAGGCGAACCAUAACUGCAAAAAAAAAAACUUGAGGAAUUGUGAAUGAAGUCGUUCGCAAUCAUAGUGCACCAAGGACACUUCCUGAUGUUAUUGCUGUCAGCACAAUUUGAUUAUUUAACGUCUAUUUCUUUCGCUUGGUCCAUCUUCAGCUGCAAAAUUUGCGGAGCUCAGUAAUGAACGUAGUCUUCAGAAUUGCAGUGUUAAUUUUCUUUCACUGCACCACAUGAACGUUCAAGAAACGACAUCUAUAGUGUUAAGAAUGUCAUCAAAAGUCAGCAGGAUUCGAUGUGGUAAGAGUAAGGGUCGUUAAAGGAAACCUUUACGCUCUCGGACAAGUUUGAUGCCGCCUAUUCAGUGAUUCUGUAAAAGUAGCAAAGCACCGGACUUGAGUAAAACAUCAAGGGUUGUUUCGAUAUAUUAAAAGUACGAUCGCUCUCACCCGUCUAAUUACAUGCCAAUCUGCUCUUCCGCAUAAAUAAGUUUUGUUUUUAAGAAAUCACUGAAAACCUUGUUUAUAAAUAUAUCGCAAAGUUUAACGGGGUCUCUCAUUAGCAACACGGUUUCAGACCAGAUUAGGCUGCCUGCAUCACCAUUAGGACACAGCUUUUACUUACGAUACGUUAUUACCUGUCAUUCUCAAAGCAAUCGACACUGUUGAUUGCUCUGUACUAGUAUAUAAACUGCCAGAUUCUGGUUGUCGGGGGGUAUGUUUGCGCUUUUUGGAAUUACCUUAGGGACUUUACCAAUCAGUCAUAAUGAAUGCCAUGACGUGUUCUUUGCGGUACCGUCGCACCAGUGUUCCUGCAGAAAUGGCGCGCGGACUAUUUAUUACUUUUUGCCUUAGAUGUGGAUGAUUUGCUGCACGUAGUGAAGCCUUCUAAUGUGCUCAUCUAGGCUGAAAAUGCAUGCAUGAUAGUUCGACCUAUUAAUGGAGAUCAUCUUGAGCUGAAACCAAACGUCGGAUUAAAGAAUAUCUGCCAAUGGGUAUGAAAAAUCCUUAGUCUUAACACACGCCCACAAAAAAAUGUGGUCUUCCAAAUCCAUGUGGAAAUCAUUAAACACUAAAGAAUUGAUGCUCAACUAAAUACGUUGGAGUCAUUGUAUAUAACCACUUGCACUGACAUUCGCCGAUUGAAAGUGUUUGCUGCAAAUUAGCUUCUGGAUGUCGUCCGCUAACUCAGGAGGAGGAGUAAACGCUUAUUGGGCGAAUCAGGUAGGAGGUGGCCUUUCUUCACCCUAGGUGGUCGGCUCUCUCAGUCCAGGAAGCCAUUGGCUGAUCGCGCGGCACGUGAUCUGUCCGCAAAACAUUGCUGAUCCUCCAGGCUCGGUGGGGUUAGCAUUGUCUCCCCCGUUUCUUCGGUCACUUACAGCGAUUCUGUUCGUGAUAAUGAUUCUAGUCAUUUGUCGCCAGGGCCAGAAGUGUAGCGAUUCGGUAGCUUCAUCUGGAGUGCCUUUAUCGCAUUGCUGGCACACCAACACUGCGUGUUCUAGGGUGUCCGGUACUUCACCGAAUCGGCAUGGACAUGACAAUUGUGCGGGGUGCAUCCGGUACAUGAUAAUUCCAUGACCAUAUCUAUUCCUUAAUAGUCUCCCGAGGGUGGUGGCUUCUUCCUUAGACAUCACAGCCAAAUAAAACCAUCCUUUUCUUGUACCUAGCGUUGCGUUGCACUCCACGUUGCCCUAGACAAUUAUCUUUAGGUAAAUUGAACAUUCCUCUCGCUAAUAAGGUAUAGGUGAACCUGUACUACAAUAAUAUGGUAAUAAAAUUUUGAACACGGCUCCUUUUUUAAUAAAUAUGUCCUCUCUUUUACUCACGCACUGCAACAAUACAUUGAACAAUUUGCAACCAUCUGACAGGAUCGCAUAAUUAUGAAACCUGUAACUCAUUAUUUUUUUACUCUUCUCAAGGUUAUUUGCAUACUGUAGUUUCCCUCUCCUUGUUUAGAUAUCACUUACUCCUUUCAACAAUGCCGUGAAUGCACGACGGUACAAUAAGCAAAUUAAAUUAUUUGAGUAAAUUGUAAGUUUUUGGGCCAGUAAUUGUAAGAAUUUCCCAUUACCAAAAAUGUUUUGUGGCAUACAAUGUUCUGCUUUUUGGUGAUACGUCUUCAAACACGUAAAAUCUUCAAGUCGCACAAUUUCGCUUGUGCACCUUUAAUGAAAUACCAUUUUCUCCCCUGAAUUCCGACUGGUUCUAGCAAAACAAAGGGUGAUUUCUUUCUAGAAGGACGAUAACCUUCCUCAUAUGACAUUUUCACUGAAGAAAAAAUCUACUCGUGACUCUUCUAAGUGUUACCUUUUCUGAACAAACACUGCUGCAACAAUUAUCGCAAUCAAACAAGGUUUGGGCAAACUCAAGAUUAACAGGAAAGGAGAAUAGAUAAUCCUUCCAACUGACCGAGUUUAUUUCUCAUCCGGUGCUGCUUCGUACUAGGCCAGUUCACUGGCAACUCCAUCGAAUCUCUGUGAUAACAUGACUUGCUCAUUGCGAUAGCCUUGCGAUAAAGAUCGGCUGUGUUUGGUCGACACUAGUGUAAAAGUUCUUCUAAACUCGUAUAAACAGCCCCGGGCGGUUCGCAGGUGCAGUAACUAACAUAUAUUGCGUAUGGCCCGAAUUUAUAGUUCUAAACGCUACCGAGGAAUCAUUAAUCGGGAUAUAAUGCUUCCACAGUUUAGCAACGACAUCAGCAAAUGUGCAUCAAUGAAGGUCAGCUCGUGAAGCAGCAUGGAGAUAUAAAAAUUAAAGAAUAGUUAUUCGGAUGUCACUAAGGUUUGGCGUACAAAGCAAGAAAGUGGCUGUGGUUGUAAGGAAGUACAUAUUGGAAAUGCAUGACAGAAUUUCAGAUCAGUACGACUGCAUUAUUUCAUAUUUUGGUGCCUCUGCAAGGAUUUUUUAUAUGGCCGACUCCUUUUAUCCUCACUGAACGAUUACCCGUGCAGCGUUGCAGCGUGCGCAUAUAGGGUCGUGGGUUGCGCGUCUGAUGCGCCGCACCUUUCCAGCAAGCAUGGAGACUGACCUAGAAUUUGAUUAACAUUGUGCAAGUGUUUUACGUAUAUUCGUAUAUGAAGACAAGUUUUCCAUUGCUUUAAAGCACAACUCUCAAACUUUUCUAGCAACCAAGGAGUUCAGAGUGCCUUAGCCUGGUUGAAAGAGAUGUGUCAUCAAACGAAUUACCAAUCAGACCAGCACCAGCCAACUACACUUUCAAGGAUACCCUCCUAGGGGACUUGGAGCCCACGCGCCCGUUCCAGAGAAUCACAGGCGGCGCUUCCUUCAAGGUCACCAGGGACCUCCGGCGGAGUGAUGUUCCUCCUGCUAAUAUCAUGGACCUGAGAGCUGUCGAAGGGCACGUUGAGAUCGACGGAACGCCUAUCGUCAGACUUACGUGGACUGGGCCUGGUGCGCACAUUACACACGGAGUGGUGUCAUGAAACGAAUUACCAAUCAGACCAGCCCCAGCCAACUACGCUUUCAAGGAUACCCUCCUAGGGGACUUGGAGCCCAUGCGCCCGUUCCAGAGAAUCACAGGCGGCGGUUCCUUUAAGGUCACCAGGGACCUCCGGCGGAGUGAUGUUCCUCCUGCUAGUAUCACGGACCUGAGAGCUGUCGGAGGGCACGUUGAGAUCGACGGAACGCCUAUCGUCAGACUUACAUGGACGUGGCCUGGGGCGCACAUGACACACGGAGUAGGCAAUCAGAACUUCGAAGGGCUGUGUACUGAUCAACGCCGAGCUCAAGUUACCGUCAUGCAAGAGCUUCUGCCCAGGAGCAUCCGCCACACAAACUACAGACCCUGACAUCAUGAAAAAUGGCGGUACCUACAGCGGCCACUUCACACAGUUCACGGGCCGAGGAAGGUACUCUGUCAUGGCAUACGUUAACGGAGGCAAGAAGACUAGACAUGCGUACCGUAGGCCGGGAUUCCCCCCCCCCCCCCCCGACGCGGGGGGCUGGAAUGAAAACCACAAACGCAUGUCAUCAAACGAAUUACCAAUCAGACCAGCACCAGCCAACUACACUUUCAAGGAUAACCUCCUAGGGGACUUGGAGCCCACGCACCCAUUCCAGAGAAUCACAGGCGGUGCUUCCUUUAAGGUCACCAGGGACCUCCGGCGGAGUGAUGUUCCUCCUGCUAAUAUCAUGGACCUGAGAGCUGUCGAAGGGCACGUUGAGAUCGACGGAACGCCUAUCGUCAGACUUACGUGGACUUGGCCUGGUGCGCACAUGACACACGGCGUGGCUGCGGCAGUGCAGAUCAGAGGUGGCAAUAACCGCGGCAACUUUGCAACGGAUUUCGACAGCUUGGAGGUUAUGUCGAAUGUCGUGAAAGGCAAACCUUCGUCCCCUCCCCGCCGGUUUAAAGCAUGACGUCACCAUCGCUCUUCCCCGGAACUGGCAGACGAAGACUCACGGGGACAAGGACUUCGUCCUGAAGGCCUACCUAUAGCGGCGCGUGUUAUUAACGUGCACGGCCUAAAGUCGCAGCCGUCCAGGAAAGUUAUUGCAGAGUUUGAACUUUUGAAUUUUACUGAAGUUUCGAGCGAAAAUGAUGAACCGUCGGUCACAUAAGUGGAGGAAGAUCGAAUAAAAAAGAACAAACCGUCCAUGACAACGGAUGAGGUUGAUGGGAGCGAAUAUUACGAACCGUCCGUCAUCGUUUGCAUGAAGUGUUGCAACACUUCAUGAAAUAUGAAGUGUUGCAACCGUCACUGACGUUAUUCGCGCAACAUAUUACCUAGUCUGUGUUACUGCGUUUCAUCACUUUACUCUUCUAUUGUGUAUUUUAUUUUUACUGUUUGAUAUCUUCUUCAAAUGUUGAAUUCCUGAUGCUGGCUGCAGAGCUUCAACCUGCACCCUUAUUUUUUUUUGUUUACAUUUUGCCAGUUUUGUGAAACUGCUCAUUUCUUUUUCCCACCCUGCUAUAAUCCCGAUACCGGGAUUCCAGUAUCAAUAAAAGAACAAAAUAAAACACUAAAUAAAUCAAAUAAAACAACAAAUGAAUUAAGACUAAUUAUGUUAUCAGGUCGAAUGUAAAAAAUAAUCUCAGUAUCUCCAACCGACGGCAAGCAACAUUAUCUUGGUUCUGUCCAGCUACGUGGCAUUUGCAUAUCUUUAAAUCUUGGUGGAUUAUAGUUGGGACACCCUGUACACACAGGACCAAGUUCACUAUAUGCUCUUUUAUAUAGAAGGAGCUAGACAACUGACAAUU